rnacentral:tRNA from 2 species
GGGUCGGUGCCCGAGUGGUUAAAGGGGGCGGAUUGUAAAUCCGUUGCGUUUCGCUACGUUGGUUCGAAUCCAACUCGGCCCA